UCUUGGUGAAUAGCAUUUAGCAAAUGUCUGGAGUACGUUGAAAAUACACAGUGUCUAGUUUGGCUUUGAGAGUAUCACAGACGGCUAGUUAAUUAUGUUAACCAGAAUGAAAAUUCCGAAAGCUGUUUCCUGGACCAACGACCAGCACUGGGGAGCCUGGGACCUGUGGGACGAGGUGAUCGACUGGGGAGAGAGGAAAGCCCGCUGUUCCUGGGAAAAGCCACCUGCCAAUCAUCCUUGGAGCAGCAGUCAUUCUCAGGAUCUCCUACAUCACAGAUCACCUAAUAAACACAGGACCUGUCGACGACUGGAGAAAAGGAGAAACGCUGAAGCACACUGGGCAUUUUGGAAGCAUUUCAUCAUAAUAAAUUACCUUUGCCUUUACA